UACGGAGGUGCCAAGCGUUAGGCGGAAUCACUGGGCUUAAAGCGCGUGUAGGUGGAUGGGUAAGUAUCUUGUGAAAUCCCACGGCUCAACCGUGGAACUGCUGGAUAUACUGCUUGUCUUGAGGCACUUAGGGGCAGCUGGAACAAAUGGUGGAGCGGUGAAAUGCGUAGAUAUCAUUUGGAACGCCAAAGGCGAAAGCAGGCUGCUGGGAGUGAUCUGACACUGAGACGCGAAAGCCAGGGGAGCAAACGGG
rnacentral:rRNA from 1 species